rnacentral:rRNA from 1 species
UACGUAGGGGGCAAGCGUUGUCCGGAAUCAUUGGGCGUAAAGCGCGUGUAGGCGGCUGGGCAAGUCGGCCGUGAAAUCUCCGGGCUUAACUCGGAGGGGUCGGGCGAGACUGCACAGCUCGAGGCGGGUAGAGGGCAGUGGAAUUCCGGGUGUAGUGGUGGAAUGCGUAGAGCUCCGGAGGAACACCAGUGGCGAAGGCGGCUGCCUGGGCCCGGCCUGACGCUGAGGCGCGAAAGCGUGGGGAGCGAUCCGG